GACGAACGCUGGCGGCGUGCUUAACACAUGCAAGUCGAGCGGAAAGGCCACUUCGGUGGUACUCGAGCGGCGAACGGGUGAGUAACACGUGAGUAAUCUGCCCCUGGCUUUGGGAUAGCCACCGGAAACGGUGAUUAAUACCGGAUACGACCACUUCUCGCAUGGGAUGGUGGUGGAAAGUUUUUUCGGCCAGGGAUGUGCUCGCGGCCUAUCAGCUUGAUGGUGAGGUAAUGGCUCACCAUGGCUUCGACGGGUAGCCGGCCUGAGAGGGGGACAGGUCACACUGGGCCUGCAACACGGCCCAGAUUGCUACGGGAGGCAGCAGUGGCGAAUAUUGGACGAUGGGCGGAAGCCUGAUCCAGCAACGCCGCGUGAUGGAUGACGGCCUUCGGGUUGUAAACCUCUUUCAGCAGGGACGAAGCGCAAGUGACGGUACCUGCAGAAGAAGCACCGGCCAACUACGUGCCAGCCGCCGCGGUAA
rnacentral:rRNA from 1 species